rnacentral:rRNA from 1 species
AGUGAACGCUGGCGGUAGGCCUAACACAUGCAAGUCGAACGGCAGCACAGUAAGAGCUUGCUCUUACGGGUGGCGAGUGGCGGACGGGUGAGGAAUACAUCGGAAUCUACUUUUUCGUGGGGGAUAACGUAGGGAAACUUACGCUAAUACCGCAUACGACCUACGGGUGAAAGCAGGGGAUCUUCGGACCUUGCGCGAUUGAAUGCGCCGAUGUCGGAUUAGCUAGUUGGCGGGGUAAAGGCCCACCAAGGCGACGAUCCGUAGCUGGUCUGAGAGGAUGAUCAGCGACACUGGAACUGAGACACGGUCCAGACUCCUACGGGAGGCAGCAGUGGGGAAUAUUGGACAAUGGGGGCAAGCCUGAUCCAGCCAUACCGCGUGGGUGAAGAAGGCCUUCGGGUUGUAAAGCCCUUUUGUUGGGAAAGAAAAGCAGCAGGUUAAUACCCCGCUGUUCUGACGGUACCCAAAGAAUAAGCACCGGCUAACUUCGUG